UGGGGAAUAUUGGACAAUGGGCGAAAGCCUGAUCCAGCCAUGCCGCGUGUGUGAAGAAGGUCUUCGGAUUGUAAAGCACUUUAAGUUGGGAGGAAGGGCAGUAAGCGAAUACCUUGCUGUUUUGACGUUACCGACAGAAUAAGCACCGGCUAACUCUGUGCCAGCAGCCGCGGUAAUACAGAGGGUGCAAGCGUUAAUCGGAAUUACUGGGCGUAAAGCGCGCGUAGGUGGUUCGUUAAGUUGAAUGUGAAAGCCCCGGGCUCAACCUGGGAACUGCAUCCAAAACUGGCGAGCUAGGGUAGGGCAGAGGGUAGUGGAAUUUCCUGUGUAGCGGUGGAAUGCGUAGAUAUAGGAAGGAACACCAGUGGCGAAGGCGACCACCUGGGCUCAUACUGACACUGAGGUGCGAAAACGUGGGGAGCAAACAGG
rnacentral:rRNA from 1 species